rnacentral:lncRNA from 1 species
AACACCUGAUCCUGUAGCUGCAAAAGAUCUCCAUCCCUCGAUCCUUCCCUCCUUAAUCUUUCAUAGUUCUCAUAGCAGAUUGUUUUGUUAUAUACAUCCAACUUGAUCUAGCAGCNNNNNNNNNNCUUGCAGUCAACAACACCUGAUCCUGUAGCUGCAAGAGAUCUCCAUCCCUCAAUCCCUCCCUCCUUAAUCUUUCAUAGAUCUCAUAGCAGAUUGUUUUGUUAUAUACAUCCAACUUGAUCUAGCAGCAAAUGGAUUGUUUUCUAUGGUUAACUAAGUUUGCUGUCAAGAUUUAUGUUUUGGACACAAAGAUUGAUAUGCGCUCCAAUUUUGAACUUCAAAAAAUGAUGAAUUUGUUUCUCUGAAAUUUUCAUCAAUCUUU